GGGGCCUUAGCUCAGCUGGCUAGAGCAUUCGGUUCAUACCCGAAAGGUCGUGGGUUCGACUCCCUCUGCCGCCA
rnacentral:tRNA from 1 species